rnacentral:rRNA from 1 species
CCUACGGGUGGCAGCAGUGAGGAAUAUUGGUCAAUGGGCGCGAGCCUGAACCAGCCAAGUAGCGUGAAGGAUGACUGCCCUACGGGUUGUAAACUUCUUUUAUAAAGGAAUAAAGUGCGGCACGUGUGCCUUUUUGUAUGUACUUUAUGAUUCAGGAUCGGCUAACUCCGGGCCAGCAGCCGCGGUAAUACGGAGGAUCCGAGCGUUAUCCGGAUUUAUUGGGUUUAACGGGAGCGUAGAUGGGUUGUUAAGUCAGUUGUGAAAGUUUGCGGCUCAACCGUAAAAUUGCAAUUGAUACUGGAAGCCUUGAGUACAGUUGAGGUAGGCGGAAUUCGUGGUGUAGCGGUGAAAUGCUUAGAUAUCACGAAGAACUCCGAUUGCGAAGGCAGCUUACUAAACUGCCACUGACAUUGAUGCUCGAAAGUGUGGGUAUCAAACAGGAUUAGAUACCCGAGUAGUC